GCUUCAUUGCUUAGAAUAAAUGUUAUUUAGUACAAAAUGUCUGAGAUGAAAUUGAAUAUUAAAGUCUUAGUAAAUGAGUACUGACAAAAUUACCAAAGAGGAUCAAAACAUUUAAGAUAGGAAUAAUUUGUGGCUGAUGAUGUUGCUCCUAAUAGUGAUACAAUACUUACUUUCUCUCUAACAUCAUUCCAAUCCGGUCCUUCUUCUCUCACACUCUAUUCAUACCCAUCCAUGAAUUCACUCCAGAGCGGUGAGUGGCUUCGUUCUUCCCUCCUAACCCCCAACUUCCACCAAACAAACAAACAAUCAUGACCGAACACGGCAAACUCAAAUCCUACUCCGGCCACCCUCCUCCGCCGUCGGUUUCCCUCACCCCGACCCUCCUCCUGGAUCCGACCCCUCCGCCCCUAUUACAGUUAUGGCUACUAAGCUUUUUCCGAUUUAUCUCUGUUCUUGACUGGCUCCUCUUUGUUGUUGAUAUCUAAGCUCUAAUCCAGGUAACCAAUGACGGUUUGAUUUAAUCAUAUGUGUUUUAUUCUUUGAUUUCCUUCACAUUUUAUGAGUCUUACUAACCUAAUUUGAUUACCCUUCAGCAAAAUUUGGACUUUGCACCUUCAUGCACACCUUUUUUCUUUUUCUUUUUUAUGUUUACAAAACUCAAUUUCCUCGGUUGUGUAACGAUUAAGUUAUAUGUACUGUGAAGGGCAUUGUUAGUAUGCAAGAGCCAUGUCAAUUAAUUCAUUUCAAGUUAUGGAUUGUUUUCCUUGAUUUUUUUUUUCUUCAAACAUCCAAUGUGUAUUUUAAUGGAUUAUAUGUAAAUGUCAUCUUUCGUCUGUGUAUACUACUGUUAAGCUACUUCUUCUAGGUGUUCUGCCAUAUCACUAUGAAGCUACUUCUUCUCUGUUUGAGUCAUUCUUCUCACCACAUCGGUGCUCUGCCAUUUUCUUACAUGAUUUAGGUUAUUUCUGCUUUUGGUUGUUUUUUUCUUUACAUCACUUCAUAUAUUCUUCUUUUAUCUUUAAUUUUGCUUUUGGUUGUUGUGCUCAAUAUACUAUUUCAAAUGUGGCUGCUAAAGUGAUUCUUGAAACUUGAAAACAAUGUUAUGUAAAUUUGUUUAACUCUAUGUGAUUUAAAUCUUAUAUUUGAAGCAAGAAUGUCAAAUAGCUAUCGGUGAUCAAUGAUAUUAAAUCAUUUUAUCUUAUUGUAAUGGUUGAAUAACUGUUGAGAAUGUAACAGUUUUGUUCAAUGAAUUGUUUACUAAGCUGAGAUUAUUGAUCACAAUAUACGUUUAUUCAUACUCUGUUAAAAAUGAGUUCUUUUUUGAAUUCUUAGGUAGCUCUCGCUGUUGAGUUCCAACUCCUUCACUUAUAUAAACUUAAAAAAGUGCUAACGAGUUCUUUUUUAAAUUAGGACUUAUUUACUUGACCUUCUGACUUAGAAAGUUCUAUAGUACUUUCAAUUAUGCAGGAUUUAGGGAGUACUCAGUUAUUGAAGAUCAAUAUUAAUACGUUGUGUCAUUGUUGUAUUUUUUUACAUUCUAAUUCUGUCAGUUUCGUAUCUGCUACUGUUCUAUAUAAUAAGGUACCUUUGAUGUAGUUGUGUGGUACCUUUUGUACUCUGUUUGUGUCUAAGUACAAUUUAUCAUUCCUUUUAGGUUGGCUAUAAUGUUUUGUAGGAAAAAAUUUGGUUUUUAUUUAGUGAUUGACACUUGAGUAUUUUGGAGAAAGAUUUGAAAAAGAGAGGUUAGUUUACUGACUGAUAAGUAUUAGAACUUUGGAGAGAGAUUUGGAAAAGAUGUCAGUUCAUCAUCUUUAGUAUUGGAAUAAUAUGUCAAUGAAUUAUAUUUUCCAUGCCUUUUAUGUUGUCACUUUCCAAUUUUGUUUUACCAUUUUGUGCAGAAGGUGUCAAAUGUAGAAAAUUUGGAUUUGGAUUGGUUUUACAUAGUGUUUUCUGAGUUAAUUAUUCUAUUUCAGCUACAUAACUUUCUUCUAACUUUUUCUUUGUUAUAAAAGUUAUAAUAUUGUUUUCUGUCAAGCUUCCUUGAUUUAUCAUAGAUUAUAUAACAAUGAUUUAAACUAACUUCAGUUGGAUCAUGUAAGGUUCAAUCCAUAUCAAGUUAAAUGUUAAAGUAUCCUCCUUUGUUUCUCUAUGCUCAAUUGACUCAAAUAUCCCCUCUUGGUAAUUCUUUUAAAUUACAUUAAAGAAAAUAUUAUUUUCUUUUUGAUUUGUUUCUUUGUCGUCUCAUUUAGAUCAUUAGAGUUGCAAACCAAUGUUAUACUAUAUGCAUCUCACUUUUUAGUCAUGUCAAUUUAAGUGGUUAGGAAAUUUAUGGAAUAAGCUAAUUACACAGUUAGUGUACGGCAGCUUUGCUGUUGCUUUCAUACUGUUGAGUGUUAUACUUCAACCUUGAUUUAGUUUCCCUUAUAAUGGCAGCUUUGGCAUGCUGUAAAUUUAUAAUUUUUUUCUAAUUCUCAUGUACGGAAGUACUUACAUAUUUGUAAUAGAAAAUUAUUGCUUUCUUUUAUGCCCAUCACAUAGAGGAUAUAGAAUAAUACCACCCUACGACCAAAAGGAAACUCAUAAAAGGAUGAUCUUUAGUUUAAAGCUAAAGAGAUGGAAAAAAAUGUAUUCAACCCAAUUAGGGGGCGAAGAAGUGUUAAAGAGUCUAAAAUGUCAAGACUGUGGGAACCAAGCAAAGAAGGAUUGUGCAUACUCAAGGUGCAGAAGUUGCUGCAAAAACAAAGAUUUUAACUGCCAUACACAUAUCAGAACUUCAGAAGCACUUGGAUUCCUGCUGAUAGAAAAUUAGUGGAAAAAAAGAUCUGAAAUGCAUCCUAAAAUGCCAUGGAUCGUGAUUGAAGAUUCAAAGUAAUCAAGGAGCAUUAUUUCGUAAUAUUAGUUAUGCCGACAUGUCUUAAGUGAAACCAUUUUGGCUAUCUAAUUGUUUGUUGUCCCUUUCUUAGUUAAAAUUUUCCAUUUAUGGAGUUGUCAUAUUUUGUGUGAAUUAUGUAAGGGCUGGGUUAACUAUUUUGGAUACAAAUUUGUAUUUGCACCUUUUGCUGGAUUGGCAUUAAUUAAGUAUUUUUUGUUUUUAAGCUUGAA